GUUGACCUCGGAUCAGGUAGGGAUACCCGCUGAACUUAAGCAUAUCAAUAAGCGGAGGAAAAGAAACCAACAGGGAUUGCUCUAGUAACGGCGAGUGAAGCAGCAAUAGCUCAAAUUUGAAAUCUGGCGUCUUCGGCGUCCGAGUUGUAAUUUGUAGAGGAUGCUUCUGGGCAGCCACCGACCUAAGUUCCUUGGAACAGGACGUCAUAGAGGGUGAGAAUCCCGUAUGC
rnacentral:rRNA from 1 species